CGAAAGUUAUAGGAUUAUCUUGGUCCUGCUAAGUCCAAAGAUCUGCGGUUCGACUCCGUUGAACUAUCG
rnacentral:tRNA from 1 species